UCAAGCUACUAAGAGCGCAUGGUGGAUGCCUUGGCAUUAGGAGCCGAAGAAGGACGUGGCAAAACUGCGAUAAGCCUGGGUUUGCUGUUUAGCAAGCUCAACCCAGGAUUUCCGAAUGGGGAAACCCGAUCCAUUUAAAAACGGAUCACCGCUAGCUGAACACAUAGGCUAGAUGGUGGGAACCGGGGGAACUGAAACAUCUAAGUACCCCGAGGAAAAGAGAUUAUUCCCUAAGUAGCGGCGAGCGAAAGGGGAAGAGCCCAAACCAUUUCCUUCGGGAAAUGGGGUUGUAGGACCAGCAUUGUGGAGUUACCAAACUGAUUGAUAGUUGAAGCUGCCUGGAACGGCGAGCCGUAGAUGGUGAGAGCCCAGUAAACGAAAUCUAUCAGACUUCCGCUGGUAUCCUGAGUACAACGGGACACGAGAAAUCCCGUUGGAAUCUGGGGAGACCACUCUCCAAGGCUAAAUACUCCUAAUGACCGAUAGCGGACAAGUACCGUGAGGGAAAGGUGAAAAGAACCCCGGAAGGGGAGUGAAAUAGUUCCUGAAACCGUGCGCUUACAAGCAGUCGAAGCAGGCUUCAUGUCUGUGACGGCGUGCCUAUUGAAGAAUGAGCCGACGAGUUACGUUCAGUGGCAAGGUUAAGCGAUGUGAAUUGUGGAGCCGUAGCGAAAGCGAGUCUGAAUAGGGCGAUAGUCGCUGGACGUAGACCCGAAACCUGGUGAGCUAUCCAUGGGCAGCGUGAAGCGAGAGUAAUGUCUCGUGGAGGUGCGAACCUUCCUGCGUUGCAAAGCGGUUGGAUGACCUGUGGAUAGGGGUGAAAUGCUAAUCGAACCAGGAGAUAGCUGGUUCUCCUCGAAAUGCGUCUUGGCGCAGCCUCGAGUGUUUUGUAUUGGAGGUAGAGCUCUGAUUGGGCUAGGGGGCAUAGUGCUUACCAACCCCAUUCAAACUGCGAAUGCCAAUACUUUAGAACUCGGGAGUGAGACAGUGGGGGCUAAGCUCCAUUGUCGAAAGGGAAACAGCCCAGACCUUCAGCUAAGGUCCCUAAAUCCAUGCUCAGUGUAAAAGGAUGUCUGGUUGCAUAGACAGCUAGGAUGUUGGCUUAGAAGCAGCCACCAUUGAAAGAGUGCGUAACAGCUCACUAGUCGAGUGGCCGGGCGCCGAUAAUGUAACGGGGCUUAAGCAUGGUACCGAAGCUAAGGGAUUACAUAUUUAUAUGUGAUCGGUAGAGGAGCGUUCUGCGUGCAGUGAAGCUGGAGGGGUGACCCCUGGUGGAGCGCGUUGAAGUGAGAAUGUCGGCAUGAGUAGCGAAAUACAGGUGAGAAACCUGUACGCCGUAAGCCUGAGGGUUCCUACGGAAGGUUAUUCCGCGUAGGGUUAGGCGGGCCUAAGCCGAGGGCGCAAGCCGUAGGCGAUGGACAGCAGGUUAGUAUUCCUGCCCCAUGGUAAGUGUGUUUGAAAUGAGAGGCGUGACCCGGGAGGAUAGAUUAGGCGGGCCUAUUGGACAUGGUCCGUUCCUUCACCGUAGGCGUCUGAUGGUAGGAAAAUCCGCCGUCAGGUUAAGCAGAGGGUGCGGGAGAAGUGGAGACGUCAGUCAAAGUGACCUAGUUGAGUCCAUGCCGGCAAGAAAAGCGUCGUCAUUGAAUACUUACUGUGACCGUACCGAAAACCGACACUGGUGGGCGACGGUAAGUACCGUAAGGCGUUCGAGAGAAUCUUCGUUAAGGAACUCUGCAAUCUAGCUCCGUAACUUCGGGAGAAGGAGCGCCCUUGAGGGUGAAGGACUUUACGUCCGGAGCACUUCGAGGGCCGCAGUGAGCGGGCCCAGGCGACUGUUUAACAAAAACACAGGUCUCUGCUAACCCGUAAGGGGAUGUAUAGGGGCUGACGCCUGCCCAGUGCCGGAAGGUUAAGGGGCGAGCUGAGAGGCUCAAACUGAAGCCCCGGUGAACGGCGGCCGUAACUAUAACGGUCCUAAGGUAGCGAAAUUCCUUGUCGGGUAAGUUCCGACCCGCACGAAUGGCGUAACGAUCUGGGCGCUGUCUCAACGAAGAACUCGGCGAAAUUGAAUUGGCCGUGAAGAUGCGGCCUACCCGCAGCAGGACAAAAAGACCCCGUGGAGCUUUACUGCAGCUUGGCGCUGGAGGCUAGGCAUAAAUGCGUAGGAUAGGUGGGAGGCUUUGAACCGUUGCUUUCGGGCAGCGGGGAGCCAAUGGUGAAAUACCACUCUUCUAUGUUUGUCCUCCUAACCUGUGAGCAAGCAUGGGAACAGCGUCUGGUGGGCAGUUUGACUGGGGCGGUCGCCUCCUAAAAUGUAACGGAGGCGCGCAAUGGUCCCCUCAGGGUGGAUGGUAAUCACCCAUUGAGUGCAUUGGCAUAAGGGGGCUUGACUGCGAGACAGACACGUCGAGCAGGGACGAAAGUCGGCCAAAGUGAUCCUAUGGUACCGAGUGGAAGGGCCAUGGCUUAACGGAUAAAAGCUACCCCGGGGAUAACAGGCUGAUCCUGCCCAAGAGUUCACAUCGACGGCAGGGUUUGGCACCUCGAUGUCGGCUCGUCGCAUCCUGGGGCUGAAUCAGGUCCCAAGGGUUGGGCUGUUCGCCCAUUAAAGCGGUACGCGAGC
rnacentral:rRNA from 1 species